UACGGAGGGUGCGAGCGUUGUCCGGAAUCACUGGGCGUAAAGGGCGCGUAGGCGGCGCGGGGAGUCAACGGUGAAAGCUCGGCGCUCAACGCCGAGUCGGCCGUCGAUACUCCCGUGCUCGAGCACUGUAGAGGCAGGUGGAAUUCCGGGUGUAGCGGUGGAAUGCGUAGAGAUCCGGAAGAACACCGGUGGCGAAGGCGGUGAGCUGGGCAGUUGCUGACACUGAGGCGCGACAGCGUGGGGAGCAAACAGG
rnacentral:rRNA from 1 species